rnacentral:rRNA from 1 species
GAUGAACGCUGGCGGCGUGCCUAAUACAUGCAAGUCGAGCGAACAGACGAGGAGCUUGCUCCUCUGACGUUAGCGGCGGACGGGUGAGUAACACGUGGAUAACCUACCUAUAAGACUGGGAUAACUUCGGGAAACCGGAGCUAAUACCGGAUAAUAUAUUGAACCGCAUGGUUCAAUAGUGAAAGACGGUUUUGCUGUCACUUAUAGAUGGAUCCGCGCCGCAUUAGCUAGUUGGUAAGGUAACGGCUUACCAAGGCAACGAUGCGUAGGCGACCUGAGAGGGUGAUCGGCCACACUGGAACUUAGACACGGUCCAGAGUCCUACGGGAGGCAGCAGUAGGGAAUCUUCCGCAAUGGGCGAAAGCCUUACGGAGCAACGCCGCGUGAGUGAUGAAGGUCUUCGGAUCGUAAAACUCUGUUAUUAGGGAAGAACAAAUGUGUAAGUAACUAUGCACGUCUUGACGGUACCUAAUCAGAAAGCCACGGCUAACUACGUG